GUGAAUCAUCGAAUUUUUGAACGCAAAUUGCACUCUCCUCUGAGAGUAUGCCUGUUUGAGGGUCAGCCUAUAAAAAAUCGACAUCGUUGCUGUUUCGCGGUGACGUUUGUCGGUAAUUGGGUCAUCUUAUAACCUUUUGAUUUAAGCGACGUAAAAUUUUCUUUUGGUUCCAUGAACGUUUCUAAGAUCUAUUUCUUUACACUUUUACGUGAUCGAUUUUUACUUGCCGUGA
rnacentral:misc_RNA from 1 species